UAGCAUUAUGCAACAUGCUAAGCUGCAGAAACACAUUCACAUGGAGAGACCCAACAAGACAUACAACUUUACCCGCCCCGUUUGGGAUUAUAUAUUUUACGGUCCUGAUUUUUCUACCAAUGUAGUCGAUGAGAGCCGGGAAGAAAUGGGAAAGAAACAAGACAUGUCAGCGUUGAUUGAAAUGG